CCCCGCGCAGCCCCGCGCUCCCUGCGCGCCGCAGCCGCUCCGCCGCCCGGCUCCCGAGUGAUGCUCAGCCCGGCGCGCCGCUCUGCCCAUACACGUUUCCAAUCUCAUGGCUCAUAAACUAUCCGCAAAGGGAUUUCAUUAUUCACCUUCGGUAUCCGACAGAGGAGAGAGAAAGGGAAAAAAAAAAAAAAAAAAGCCAUGGACGCCCCUAGGAACAGCGAGGCCCGGGCCGGGCUGAAGCGGCGGUGCUGCCCGCCCCCGCGGUGUGCGGUGCGGUGCGGAGGUCGGGCUGGCGGCUGCGAGCUUUCCGCGCCGCUCCGCGGGCUGCCUCCGCCCGGUGCUGGGCUCCGGCCGCUGCCUAUUGUCCCGGAGUGACUGAGGUCAGCCUGGCACGGGGGCAAAGCAGAACCGUGAACUGUGUUUUACUGGGAGCGGAAAAAAAAAAUCCGGAGGAAAGAGUAAAAUCUCGGCGGCCUGGUGCGGUCUGGUCUUGUUUGUUAUGUUCUUUUUUUUUUUUUUUUUUUUUUUUUUUUCCCUGCGAUAAAUACCAUUAGGAGUUAUUUAGUUCUCCGCUGAAAUCUGGCACAUCACACCCCGGGUGCGAAGCCGAAGCCACCCGGUGCGGCGCGGCGCGGUGCGGGCAACGCGCUCCCGCGAAGGCAGGGCCAGCGCCCAGGGCCGAGAUAGGAAGUGCCAUCACCAGGCAUGUGAUCCUGACCUCAGUCGGAGCAUCCUUGGCCUGCAGUCAAGCAGUCGCUGCACUCACUGAAACAGCCUGUCUGCUUAGCCAUGGAUUAAAAUUCGUCCACUGAUCCAAGACAGAUAUGAGAGUCUGGACAGCAGUCUGUAGAAAGCUCAGUAUGCCUCCAUCUUCUGCAUGGACAAAAUGAGCGAUGAUGAUGAUGAAGGUAUAGAAUCGCACGGAGGGGCUGAUGCUGAAGAUCAAACACACGGAUAAGAGAUGUUAUCGUGAGUGUUCCCCUCAAGUAAUUUGGGUUUGGAAUGAUGGCUUCUAAAACAACUGUAUAAAACUAACAAUUAAGGCAGUCCUAGAACAUGGCAGUACCUGUGUGUAUUCUUUUCUGUCAGACAAAACCUGUGCAGAGGAACUUCCAUUUCCCCCCUCCUUUUUAUUUUUUUUUAAUUAUUCUUUUUAUUUUUCGAUGGGAUGAAAAGUGGAAUAGAAAUAGAUCUUUUCAUCAGCAUCUCCAUUUUUACAAACCACUGUUUUGCAAUAUAAAAGUAAUAAAUUGAAAAUGUGUUGAUGACUUUGCCUGUCAGGCACUCAUAUGAUCACCUAAAACCAAAACUCAUGUGGAAAAACAGCUGACUGCCAGCAUGUACAGCUGUGCACAUCAGCCAGAAACAGACAAAGUAUGUUCCCAGCCUCAAGUCUGUAGUCUCUAAACCCCUUCAAAUGCUUUUUUCCUCAAGGUAUGAGUUUAAAAUAGAUUAAAAUAAUCAUUCACUGCAGUAUCACGUAUCUCUGUGAAUCACAAAAUCUCUGAUUUUACCAGUGCCUCAUGCCUGAACUGUUUAGGUGAUGAGAUGUAAGGAAAAAAAAAAUCUGGCUCAAGUCUCUCAAAAAUAAUAUGCAGAGGCACCAUUACUUUGGUUUCUCACUGUGCGUUUCUUCAGAUGCCUCUCAUAUAAGCUCCAUUGCCCCCUAUGGAUUAUUGCUCACAAUAAAGAGAAGUUAUUUGAA